UACGGAGGGCGCGAGCGUUAAUCGGAAUUACUGGGCGUAAAGCGUGCGUAGGCGGCCUGGUAAGUCCCGCGUGAAAGCCCCGGGCUCAACCUGGGAACUGCGCGGGAUACUGCCUGGCUGGAGUGCGGGAGAGGGGUGUGGAAUUUCCGGUGUAGCAGUGAAAUGCGUAGAGAUCGGAAGGAACACCAGUGGCGAAGGCGGCACCCUGGACCGACACUGACGCUGAGGCACGAAAGCGUGGGGAGCAAACAGG
rnacentral:rRNA from 1 species